GGGCGCAAGCCUGAUCCAGCCAUGCCGCGUGAGUGAUGAAGGCCCUAGGGUCGUAAAGCUCUUUCGCCAGAGAUGAUAAUGACAGUAUCUGGUAAAGAAACCCCGGCUAACUCCGUGCCAGCAGCCGCGGUAAUACGGAGGGGGUUAGCGUUGUUCGGAAUUACUGGGCGUAAAGCGCACGUAGGCGGAUCAGAAAGUAUGAGGUGAAAUCCCGGGGCUCAACCCCGGAACUGCCUUGUAAACUCCUGGUCUUGAGUUCGAGAGAGGUGAGUGGAAUUCCGAGUGUAGAGGUGAAAUUCGUAGAUAUUCGGAGGAACACCAGUGGCGAAGGCGGCUCACUGGCUCGAUACUGACGCUGAGGUGCGAAAGUGUGGGGAGCAAACAGGAUUAGAUACCCUGGUAGUCCACACCGUAAACGAUGAAUGCCAGACGUCAGCAAGCAUGCUUGUUGGUGUCACACCUAACGGAUUAAGCAUUCCGCCUGGGGAGUACGGUCGCAAGAUUAAAACUCAAA
rnacentral:rRNA from 1 species